rnacentral:tRNA from 1 species
GGGCCGUUAGCUCAAUUGGUAGAGCGCCUCAUUUGCACUGAGGAGGUAAGGAGUUCGAAUCUCCUACGGUCCACCA